rnacentral:rRNA from 1 species
UACCAGCACCCCGAGUGGUCGGGACGAUUAUUGGGCCUAAAGCAUCCGUAGCCGGUUUUACAAGUCCUCCGUUAAAUCCAGCUGCUUAACAGAUGGGCUGCGGAGGAUACUAUAAGACUAGGAGGCAGGAGAGGCAAGCGGUACUCAGUGGGUAGGGGUAAAAUCCGCUGAUCCAUUGAAGACCACCAGUGGCGAAGGCGGCUUGCCAGAAUGCGCUCGACGGUGAGGGAUGAAAGCUGGGGGAGCAAACCGG